UGCCUCUGGUUUUGGACUUAGUCUCAGAGCCGUUUCUCCUCAGAUUUGGACUUUAACUUUUGAGCGGAGUCACAGAGUCAGAUAGUGGAAUAAUUGGACGGAUAAGGAAGGUAGUCUCCCACUACAUUUUGGCGAGCUAGCCAGGAGGAGCGGCCCGGUACACAGCCUGCGGCGGCGGACCGGGAGGGACGGGACGGCGGAUCUCAGGCGCGCCCCACAUACACCAUUAAGGGAUAUAUUUAUAUCUUUUCUUCAUUUACGAGUGAUACCGUCUACUCCUUCCCAGCCCCAAGUCUCAGCCAGCUUCUACUGACUACUGACUGCGGAGUCGAGAUCACUGAGGGGAUGAUGUUCCCCGACCCCGUGCUGAGGCAAACAAGGAAGCAGACUGUCAUUGAGAUCCAGAAGUGUUUUAUACACAGGCCAUGUCAGCCAAACAAAUUGAAGGAGGCUACAGAGGUAUCACCUGACACAAAGACUGGAGUCGGGUGGGCCACAGAGUCCUGGACAAAGAUGGCAGGCACUGCACAACAGCCAGAGGAAAAGGAGACUGGGCCCGUAUCAAAUUAUCAAGGAAAGUGCAACAGCACUGACCAGAUAAGCUAUGCUGCAGAAGUAAGGUUAUGGGAACCCCGAGCUUAAUCAUCAAGAAGGGAGAGAUCCAGAGGAAUCCUGACCACAUGCACCAGCUAAAGGUGUCUGUUCAUUUCCCAGGAUUCACCUUGACACAGCCAAAGGAGACAGCAGAGGUCAGAGGUCUGAACUUUGAGCAGCACAUACACAAGACACACACACACACACACACACACACACACACACACACACACACACACACACACACACACACACACACAGAGGGAAACACUGAUUGAAUGUUAAAGUCUAAGCUUUGCUUUCUGGCAGUAUUUGAUAGCUUUAGGGCUCUAAGCAAGUUUGAUUUUUAGAAAUAUAAAAGAUGCACAUUCUGUUGUUAUCCUGUUGUUGACUGUUAGACUAGGUUAAAGAAAAUAUCCACUCAGCCCUAGGGCUGUCAAGGUCAUUGCUCAUUCAUUAGGGUGCCAUUGUUGACUCUCUCAUUUCACCAUGUACCUCCCCCAUCUUGCCCGAAAAAGAAACCAAAAAAAAAAAAAAAAGGGGGGGGGAGAGAUUUUUAAAAUACUUUAGGGUCAUAAAUUAAGAUGCUGUAAUGACUGUGGGUUUUCAGUUACUGAUUUAACAAAUGCAUAUUCUAGCAUUCCUGUUUAUCCUGACUCACAGUUCAAGGUUGCUUUCACUAUCAAUGGUAAACUUUGUUCAUGGAUUUGGAUGCCAUAGUUUUCUUCUCCAGUCCAACUUUGUUCCAAAACCGCAAAUGAAAACAAAUGAUUGCCUUAUUGGAUUUAGCAGGCUAUUGUUGUCCAUAGAUUGAGCUUUUUCUCAUUCAUUUUUUUUUAUUCUUUUAGGCCUCCCAGACCAUAGACGUCCCUUAAAGAAAAAAAAUCAUGAAAAUAAGACAUUUCUGAAAUGGUGUUUAUUUAAAAAAAAAAAAAAAAAAAGAGCACUCUUCAAUUUGGGCUAAGAGAAAAGAAAAGGGUAUUUGUAGGACAGAGAAAUGCAGGUUAAAAUACAGCCUUAAGUCCAUGGACGGCAAACAUCGGAUAAAUAAUCAAAAAGCAAGGUAAAUUAAAGUCUAAAUUAAAGGAAAUGUGAGAAUAAUGCAUGCGAGAACCAAAACUGAAAAAAACACACACAAAAAAAAAAACAAUCUGAACUGAAAAUAAACAACGAUAAUAGUUGUUAACAAAAAUCGAAGACCAACAAAAAAGUUUCAGUUAAACCAACAAUAAAUGUUCGAACAUUCUUAUGGGGGUUUAAUAAAGUAAAAAAGUAGUGUAUGAGGUUGUUGACUGUGUGUUGUCAACUACCUGUGUCUUGAGUGUGUGUUGAAGAAUCUACUGGAAAAAUUAGUGUUUCCUAAAAUAAAUUGUGCUAUUUUGCAGUGUUGUGUGAUUUGGUGCUGAUGUAACUGUCAGACAUUGGAGACAUUUUUGCUGUUCUAAAGAGCUUUGUAUUACUGUUAAUAAGUGGUUAAGUGUGUUGCAGUACUCAAACGAUGUGAAGGUUAUUAGACAAACUUGAUAGUUCUGGUCUAAAAUGUGUGUGCUAAUAGAUAUAUUAGUAUUGAAUGUGAUUUAUGAGAUGGUUGUUCUUGUGUGUUGUUUUUGACUUAUGAAUACUAUUCGUGCAGGCUAAGAGUUUAUAAAUGCAUGUGUAAAGUGUCGUUGAGAUAAGGAAUCCAAGUGACGGUCGGUUGAGGUUACAGCCGAGGAGACACAUCCCCGGGCAGGUUUUAUAUUGUUUUAAGAGCGGGUUCCUAUCUCGCUGAUGGCUGAGGGAGUUGUGUGCUGAAAAGUUGUGUUUCAAACUGCAGCUCCAUUGCUCCUCCCCUGGUGUGUGUGAGAGGGGGGAUGCUAGCGCCCCCCGCUCUACUGCACGUCCGGUGUGACGUAAUCACCCUCCCUUUCUCUCCUCGCUGUCGACUGGGUCCAAGCUCAGUGAACUUUUCCUUUUUUAGUACAUCAAGGUUUUGUUGUGUAUUUUUUUGUUGUUGUUGUUUUUCAAGCUCCUUUCAGCAUGCUGUCUCAUUAGUGGUUGUUGUCUGAAGUGAAUACCUAUAUGCAAGUGAUAUAUACAAUUUACGACGAUUACAUAUAAGCUGCUAUUUCAAAUAUUAUAACCAAUUGUGUUGCAAAUACAGUUUAAGCCAGUUUAUAUUCAAGUAAACGCUAUGAUCUGUUCUUUGGAGUUACAGGGUGUGAGAUGAAGAAGGCUGUUGUUAAUCAAGUAGCAUUUGACCAACCUACUCUAUUGCCCAAAUGGGGUGUUCAUAACAAAGAAAUUCAAAGCUAAUAUUAGAACUGAAAUAUUAGAAAUGAUAUAUAAUGAUGUUGAAAAUACUGAGAUCCUUUACAAAAAAGCAUAUAUAUAAAGUGUCUGUGUUGAUUGCAUCAUGAUUUUCACAUCAAAGUUCACAUACCUGUUACAGAAGAAGUAAAAUCAUCAUUUUAACUACAGAAACAUCAAGCAUCUAAUAAAAACAUACAUAUAACAUGUCCACAGUCACAAGGUUCAGUAGAACAUGCCAGUGGUAUAUCAAAAACUAAAAUAGCCAAAAUCAUGGCUGAUGGUAAUGGUAAACUCACCUGAGAAGAUGCUUUGCCAUUAGCACUAAUGUCUAUGCACUCACAAACUAACAGACUAACCCAUCUAACCCUGCAUGAAAUGCUCACUGGAUGCCCAAUGCCACUGCCACAGUGCAGGGGCCCUAUAGAGGGACCGCUUCAGCAGCACUAUUUAUGGGGUUUAACUCAAAUCUACAGAUGUGUCCUCCAACAGGUGAAAGACUGAUAGUAGUGUCGGAGAGGCUGCCGAGGAUGAUGCCACCAGCACAACCACGGGCAGUGACACCCUGGAAAGCGCACGUGCAGGACCGUCCGGCCUGCAAGAUAUACACCACCCGUCCACGCCUGAAUUCUGGCCAGAGUCAGAGCGUUCUCUGACUCAGAUUAAUUUGUUUGUUUUCUUUCUUUUUGUGCUAACCCUUUCAGGUUUCGCAAGGGGGGAGGUAGAAAGAGAAGUCCUAAUGACAUGUGCCACUAUUAACACACCACAUGUUAACUGUGCACUUACCAUGGUCACCUUAGCCACAAUUACAAGGGCAUAGUGAAAAUGGGAGAACUACUACAUCUUCUGUAUGUAAAAGCUGACACAUAUGGUUGUUCACUAACCACCGAUGGCACAAUAGCUAACGCUCCAGGUUAACAUUGGGUGGGACUACCCCGCACCACUGACUGUCAAGAGAAUGGAUGGUGACAUUACAGGUAAUACGCACAAACACGUCAUGUUAGGACACAGAAACAAUCAGAAAAUGAAACUUUUAGAAGCCAGUAGAUGGAUUCGGCUAAAGAGUAACUGAGAAAAAAGAGAUUUGGCCAAACUAAGAAGCACAGAAAAAGACCAAUAAGAGUGUAUUGUACGUUACAAACGUCAAAAGAAUACCACUGCCAGGAAGUCACAGAGGUGACUGUUCGGAUAUAACUGAAUGUCUUGCUUGUUGUGCAGUGCACAUGGCAGUGAAAUUGGAUAGAUGGAGUUCCAACUCUCAAAUAUGCCAAUGAAAAAUUAAAAACAAUGACAGCUAUGUAAACUUGAUAAACUAAUCUUCCUUUUCUGUGUAGCACGAGGACGAGUUGGUGUAUGUAACCUGGAGAAACACAACCAACCUGACGUGGUGAGACUAAUGAAGUGCAGCAAUGAGACCUGGUAUCCGGCCACCAAUGGGGGCAAUGCUACCACCAUAAAAAUGUGUGAAUCCAGCCCUUCAACAAUUAGCCCAACCACAACUACAGGAUGAGCUCUCCGUGGAUAAUCAGCUAGGAAGACAACAUCAUGGAUAGAGGUCAAAAUGUAAUUUAGAUAAAUGUGCCAGCAAGGCUGUGAGCCUGGCUAAGGUUGCUGUCCACUCCUGCAGAGGAACAAUCCAAAUGGAUACAACAGAGCAGAGGUAUCUGUCAGUGCCUGCACCCUCCAGGAAGAAGGGUGAGCUAUCAACACAGAGACUACUGUACAAGGAGAGAGACAGGCUGACAGGUUUAUAAAUUAUGUUCCGACAAUUGUACGACGAUCCCUUGUAUUCAACAUAGUUAUGUAGAGUCAAAUGUUGUAAAUGUGUUGAUGAAGAAAAGCGGGCACUCAUUUGUGAAGGUCACGUCAGAAAGCUGAGUGCCAUAAAAAGCACAAGAAAUGUAUUAAACCAGUGUGGUUUACAGGAAACCAGUAAGUUCAUAGGGACUCUGGUGUAAUGUUGGCCUUAGGGCCGCCACACUAACCAAGGCAACACCAUGGGUAAUAUGUCACCAAGGCUAACAAAUAACCCAAGCGUGUCAUUUAAGUCCAGGUGCUAAGAUUGGAUAGAGCUCUUACCUGUCGUUAUGUAAUUGGAUCAUUGGAAAAAUACCAGAAGAAAUUUUUUUUACAAAAACAAAAGGUGGUAUGAGAGUUUUACGUCAAUGAUCUAAUAAUUACUGAUCUAAUGUUUGCUGAACUGACCAAAGAGGGAUCAUCUUUACAAAGUGUGUCUAGAUAAUAUUCUAAUUCUAAAGGGUUUAAGAAUUUGUCUAUGUAAUCUUGUGCUUUUCUGAAAAAAAAAAAAAAAAAAAAA